UAGCAGCCCACUCACUCCUCUCGGUAUCUCUCACUCUCAUCUCAACGACUCAACGCCUCUCUCUGAGUCUCUGACUCUCUCAACGUCUCUCUCUCUCACUCUCAGCGUCUCUCUCGCUCAAGUUGGGCCACUCAAAACCCCAUUUUCCUUCAGCUUUGCAUCAUUCAUCAUCUCUUGCAGUACUACCAGUGGAUACAAGGAAGGAAAGGCAGCUGGAAUGGCUUCUUUGCAACACACAAGUAUCAAUACCACAGUUUUAUGCAAAAAAGGGGCGAUUUCCGUAAUGGGUGUUUCGGCUCUUCUGUCGUCACUAUCGAGGUUCAGAACCAUUGUGGGUUUCCGUUGUCACUACCGAGGUUCAGAACCAUUGUGGGUUUUGCGAGAGGUAAAGUUGAUAGUUCUUAGUGGAGAUUUAUAUACAUCAUGAAUUGGAAUUUGGUUUCGUUCUAGUUAGGGCUGAUAAAAAACCCACGCUGCUUGAGUUCGAGUUGGUGCUUGUUCCUUAAAAGCUCGUUCAAGAUCAGUUUGGUACAUAGAUAAAGCAAGCUUGAACAUUUUUCUAAAGCUCAUUUAAGCUUUCAUAGCAAGCUCAAAAAAGCUACUACUCGGCUCCUUUGGCUUGUGAUGUAUAAAAAUUUCCGAGAUACUCGAGAUCAUCUAUGGCUCGAUAAAGCUUGUUCAAGAUCGGCUCAUCGCAUAAACAAGCUUAAAAUUGAACAUGUUUUGAAGCUCGUUAAGUUUCAAAUCAAACUCGAACAAUUAACUGUUCGAUCCAUUUAUGACCCCCAAUCCCAACGAAAUGAUGUGUAUAUCUAAAUCUGCUCGUUGGGAUCUAUUCUGUAAAUAUUCUCUGUGGGAUUGGGCACUUAGUGUAUUUUUUUUGUUGUUUUAUAAUGUUGGAGUAAUCUAAAUUUGCU